CCCACUGGAUAGCUCAGCUGGUUAGAGUGCGGUGCUGAUAAUACCAAGGUUGCAGGUUUGAUCCCUGCAUUGCUGGGG